rnacentral:ncRNA from 2 species
UUUAAUAAAAGAAGUUUAGGUGCCUUUAUAUAAAAGGUGAAAAGGGAAUGUGGUAAAAUCCACAGCAGCCCCCGCUACUGUAAUUGAGGACAAAUCUUUCAUAAACAGAGUUCUUGGCUUCAGAAGGAGUUUUUGC